AUCAUGGCUCAGGAUGAACGCUAGCUACAGGCUUAACACAUGCAAGUCGAGGGGCAGCAUGUCGGUUGCUUGCAACCGAUGAUGGCGACCGGCGCACGGGUGAGUAACGCGUAUCCAACCUACCCCUUGGUCCCAUCGGAUAACCCGUCGAAAGGCGGCCUAACACGAUAUGCGGUUCUCAGCAGGCAUCUAACGAGAACGAAAUGUGAAGGAGAAGGAUGGGGAUGCGUCUGAUUAGCUUGUUGGCGGGGUAACGGCCCACCAAGGCUACGAUCAGUAGGGGGUUCUGAGAGGAAGGUCCCCCCACAUUGGAACUGAGACACGGUCCAAACUCCUACGGGAGGCAGCAGUGAGGAAUAUUGGUCAAUGGACGGGAGUCUGAACCAGCCAAGUAGCGUGCAGGACGACGGCCCUAUGGGUUGUAAACUGCUUUUAUAGGGGGAUAAAGUGUGCCACGUGUGGCAUAUUGCAGGUACCCUAUGAAUAAGGACCGGCUAAUUCCGUG
rnacentral:rRNA from 1 species